CAGAAAAUAGUUUAUUUCAGAAUAUCCGCUUUGGGGGUGGAAGGAAUAGAUUCUGA
rnacentral:tRNA from 1 species